GCUUUUGCACCCUGGUCUAAGAAGAGGAGGUGGAUAUGGAGUUGGAGGUUGAGGAGGCGGUGACCGUGGUGGCAAAGAUCCAUUCGGAUGUCUGCCCUAUCAACUUUCGAUGUUACAUUCUGCGCCUACCACGGUGACCACGGAUAACAUGGAAUCAGGGUUCGAUUCCGGAGAGGGAGCCUGAGAAACGGCUGCCACAUUCAAGGAAGGCAGCAGGCG